UGAGGAAUCUUGCGCAAUGGGGGAAACCCUGACGCAGCAACGCCGCGUGAGUGAGGAAGGCCUUCGGGUCGUAAAGCUCUGUCAGACGGGAAGAAAUGGGUGGGGGCUAAUAUCGUCUAUCCUUGACGGUACCAUCAGAGGAAGCACCGGCUAACUCCGUGCCAGCAGCCGCGGUAAUACGGGGGGUGCAAGCGUUGUUCGGAAUCAUUGGGCGUAAAGCGCGCGCGGGCGGCUUGGUAAGUCAGGUGUGAAAGCCCUGGGCUUAACCGAGGAAGUGGAUGUGUUACUGGCUAGCUGGAGUACGGGAAAGGAAAGUGGAAUUCCUGGUGUAGAGGUGAAAGUCGUAGAUAUCAGGAGGAACACCGGUGGCGUAGGCGACUUUCUGGCACGAUACUGACGAUCAGGCGCGAAAGCGUGGG
rnacentral:rRNA from 1 species